UACGAAGGGGGCUAGCGUUGUUCGGAAUCACUGGGCUUAAAGGGCGCGUAGGCGGGCUGCCAAGUCCGGGGGUGAAAGCCCUCCGCUCAACGGAGGAAUGGCCUUGGAUACUGGCGGCCUGGAGGAAGGUAGGGGCGUGCGGAACUCUCGGUGGAGCGGUGAAAUGCGUAGAUAUCGGGAGGAACGCCGGUGGCGAAAGCGGCACGCUGGACCUUUGCUGACGCUGAUGCGCGAAAGCCAGGGGAGCAAACGGG
rnacentral:rRNA from 1 species